GCGGAUAUGGCGGAAUUGGCAGACGCGCUAGAUUCAGGUUCUAGUGGGGGCGACUCUGUGCAGGUUCAAGUCCUGUUAUCCGCACCA
rnacentral:tRNA from 1 species